rnacentral:misc_RNA from 1 species
CUCAACUCUGGCGAAGACUGUCCAAACAUAUAAAGAGGAUUUGAACUUUGGUGGAGAAGGGCAUUCUGGAGACAAAGUGGUGAACAGGAAAGGACAAAGCCAUUAAGAAUCAUGACAACAACCAUUGAGAACUCAUGAAAAGUUAUAGACUCCACAGUGCAGGAUAUGGUUAUCUGAUGGGGCAGUCUCCUUUUACAUUGUCCUGACGGAUUUGAUCCUUACUCCACACCAAUAGUUCUUGUUUUAUCUUUUUCCUUUCUAAACCACGGUUGAAAAUUGCAUAGAGGUGGAUGGUGUAUUAGGUAUAUUGGAAAUAACCAGGUUCAGUCUGGAAGAAGAUGAAGAAUGUUGGGUGCAGCUUCUAUAUUUUGAUGGGAAUAAACUUAUAACAUGGAUUGCUUUUAUUGUUCCAAUUUGGGUGGUUGAAGGCAUAGCAUUUGCAAGUUCUAGUAGAUGUAAACGAAUGAUGUCAAACUGCAGAAUGUGAUUUUACAGGUGUGUUGAUCAAAGACUCAUAAUAGGAAUCAAUUAGUUUGGAAGCAUCUUGACCUCCUGUCCUGGGUGGUAGUGAGUGGUGGUGGAAUGACAAGCAACAACCUAUAUUUGAAUGG